GACGAACGCUGGCGGCGUGCCUAAUACAUGCAAGUAGAACGCAGUUGCGAAAGGGUGAGUAACGCGUAGGUACCUGCCUGGUAGCGGGGGAUAACUAUUGGCAACGAUAGAUAAUAACGCAUACUACCAGAUGGACCUGAUUUGUAUUAGCUAGUUGGUGGGUGCACGGCUCACCAAGGCAACGUUACAUAGCCGACCUGAGAGGGUGUACGACCACACAGGGACUGAGACACGGCCCAGACUCCUACGGGGGGCAGCAGUAGGGAGUCUUCGGCAAUGGGCGGAAGUCUGACCGAGCAACUCCGCGUGAGUGAAGAAGGUUUUCGGAUCGUAAAGCUCUGUUGUAAGAGAAGCGGUAUCUUACCAGAAAGCGACGGCUAACUACGUGCCAGCAGCCGCGGUAAUUC
rnacentral:rRNA from 1 species